rnacentral:rRNA from 1 species
GAUGAACGCUGGCGGCGUGCCUAAUACAUGCAAGUCGAGCGAACAGACGAGGAGCUUGCUCCUCUGACGUUAGCGGCGGACGGGUGAGUAACACGUGGAUAACCUACCUAUAAGACUAGGAUAACUUCGGGAAACCGGAGCUAAUACCGGAUAAUAUAUUCAACCGCAUGGUUCAAUAGUGAAAGACGGUUUUGCUGUCACUUAUAGAUGGAUCCGCGCGGCAUUGGCUAGUUGGUAAGGUAACGGCUUACCAAGGCAACGGUGCGUAGCCGACCUGAGAGGGUGAUCGGCCACACUGGAGCUGAGACACGGUCCAGACUCCUACGGGAGGCAGCAGUAGGGAAUCGUCCGCAAAGGGCGAAAGCUUGACGGAGCAACGCCGCGUGAGUGAUGAAGGUCUUCGGAUCGUAAAACUCUGUUAUUAGGGAAGAACAAAUGUGUAAGUAACUAUGCACGUCUUGACGGUACCUAAUCAGAAAGCCACGGCUAACUACGUG